AAUAAGAUUAUUUUUAAGUUUUUUGAUACAAUGUUUUGACUUUUCGUUUUAUUUGAAAUUUUUUUGCGAUUAAAAUAUUUUUGUUCUUACUAGAUGAUAAAACAUGAAUAGUACUUUAUGCGUGACUAUUUUUUAAAAAAAUUAUAAAUUUUUCAAAUAAGACGAAUGGUCAAAUGUUGGACAUGGAAAAAC
rnacentral:pre_miRNA from 1 species